rnacentral:rRNA from 1 species
UGGGGAAUCUUCCGCAAUGGACGAAAGUCUGACGGAGCAACGCCGCGUGAGUGAAGACGGCCUUCGGGUUGUAAAGCUCUGUUAUUCGGGAAGAACGAUUCGUUUGUGAACAAUGAACGGAAGUGACGGUACCGAAAGAGAAAGCCACGGCUAACUACGUGCCAGCAGCCGCGGUAAUACGUAGGUGGCAAGCGUUGUCCGGAAUUAUUGGGCGUAAAGAGCGCGUAGGCGGUAUGGUAAGUCUGUCUUAGAAGUGCGGGGCUUAACCCCGUGAGGGGACAGAGACUGUCAUACUGGAGUCUCGGAGAGGAAAGAGGAAUUCCUAGUGUAGCGGUGAAAUGCGUAGAGAUUAGGAAGAACACCGGUGGCGAAGGCGGCUUUCUGGACGAGAACUGACGCUGAGGCGCGAAAGCGUGGGGAGCGAACAGG